ensembl:lncRNA
AGGAGUGAAUUCUAUUCCAGUCUACUAUUCUGCUGACUCCUCAGUUGGAGGGUUUUGAGCUCUGUCCCAGUUUCAGUGACCCAACAGCUGGUGCUGCCAGAAUACUCAAUUCAUAGCCUUUUCUGUAUCAUGUUCCUGUGUGCUCAGGAGUGGCUGACACUGGGGCUGAAUGUUCCUCUGCUCUUCUAUCACUUUUGGAGGUAUUUCCAUUGCCCUGCAGAUAGUUCUGAACUAGCCUAUGAUCCUCCUGUGGUCAUGAAUGCAGACACCUUAAGUUACUGUCAAAAGGAGGCCUGGUGUAAGCUGGCAUUCUAUCUCCUCUCCUUCUUCUACUAUCUUUACUGCAUGAUCUACACUUUAGUGAGUUCUUAACUGAGAGAUAACCUAUGUCACCAGAGACUGACACCAGCAAAAGGACAAAGGCUUGAGGAGAGAAGGCGAUCGAUACUGGAGAUUGGAUCGGAAGGACCUGGAGGAGGUGGUGGAUUUGGAAUUGGAGGCCAUUGGUUGAACGUGUGGAGGAAAACCAGGGAGAAGGGAAAGAGAGACGCAGUGGGCAGAAUGACUGGUUCAGAAUGCAGCUCGUGGGCUGGCUGACUGUGAAGGGCUCUUUUACUCUGUGUGUUGCAGUGGCUGGCAUUCCCACACAUGAACUGUGUAUCACUCCUGAGAAUCGGGGAGGUGGGGGAGAGCACAAAGCCAAACCUCUCAUGGGGGAGAACUGCUGCUUACCCAGAGUACUCCGGAAAACAGCUCCCUGCAGUUGCUUUUCACACUGGGUUCCUGGUAACAGUUCAGAUGGACUGUGGGAGUGGAGGCUGGGCUGGCUCUCUGCAAAGGGAUUUGAAUGCUCAGAAUACACUUCCGAGCCAGAGAUGUGGCCUGUGUGGAUAGCUGACAACAGAGAAACUCUUCUUGCCUCUUCCAAGCCCUUCCGGUGCCCCCUUUGGCUAGCAGUCAUGUGUGGUCUUCCUCUGGGCAGCCUCUGAGAGUAAAACAUCCAGGGGAGGUUCAUUUUUUUGUCAUGUUCCAAUUGAUUGGUGAUGGAAUGUUGCUAGGAUUCCAC